CCUACGGGUGGCAGCAGUGAGGAAUAUUGGUCAAUGGACGAGAGUCUGAACCAGCCAAGUAGCGUGAAGGAUGACUGCCCUAUGGGUUGUAAACUUCUUUUAUAUGGGAAUAAAAUGCUCCACGUGUGGCUUUUUGUAUGUACCUUAUGAAUAAGGAUCGGCUAACUCCGUGCCAGCAGCCGCGGUAAUACGGAGGAUCCGAGCGUUAUCCGGAUUUAUUGGGUUUAAAGGGAGCGUAGGUGGGUUGUUAAGUCAGUUGUGAAAGUUUGCGGCUCAACCGUAAAAUUGCAGUUGAGACUGGCAGUCUUGAGUACAGUAGAGGUAGGCGGAAUUCGUGGUGUAGCGGUGAAAUGCUUAGAUAUCACGAAGAACUCCGAUUGCGAAGGCAGCUCACUGGACUGCCACUGACACUGAUGCUCGAAAGUGUGGGUAUCAAACAGGAUUAGAUACCCCGGUAGUC
rnacentral:rRNA from 1 species